rnacentral:rRNA from 1 species
GAUGAACGCUAGCUACAGGCUUAACACAUGCAAGUCGAGGGGUAACGAGAGGAAAGCUUGCUUUCCUUGUCGACGACCGGCGCACGGGUGAGUAACGCGUAUCCAACCUGCCCCCAACUAGGGAAUAACCUUGCGAAAGUAAGACUAAUACCCUAUAAUUUCCUCAGAUGUCAUCUGACGAGGAAUAAAGAUUUAUCGGUUGUGGAUGGGGAUGCGUCUGAUUAGCUUGUUGGCGGGGUAACGGCCCACCAAGGCAACGAUCAGUAGGGGUUCUGAGAGGAAGGUCCCCCACAUUGGAACUGAGACACGGUCCAAACUCCUACGGGAGGCAGCAGUGAGGAAUAUUGGUCAAUGGGCGGAAGCCUGAACCAGCCAAGUAGCGUGCAGGAUGACGGCCCUAUGGGUUGUAAACUGCUUUUAUACAGGAAUAAAGUUAGCCACGUGUGGUUAUUUGUAGGUACUGUAUGAAUAAGGACCGGCUAAUUCCGUGCCAGCAGGCCGCGGUAAAACGUGCGUG